GUCAAGUCAUCAUGGUCCUUACGCCCAGGGCUACACACGUGCUACAAUGGCCGGGACAAACCGAAGCGAUGCCGUGAGGCGGAGCGAAUCUCUUAAAGCCGGUCUCAGUUCGGAUCGGGGUCUGCAACUCGACCCCGUGAAGUCGGAGUCGCUAGUAAUCGCAGAUCAGCAACGCUGCGGUGAAUACGUUCCCGGGCCUU
rnacentral:rRNA from 1 species